CUCAUUUUACUAAUAUUUGGAAGUGGGAGUUGGAAGAGUACGAACACUGCUCUAAUUUACUGUACAUAUAGUUAUCUGAAUUGUACUGCUCCAUGUGGGGCCUACGACUUCGGCUUUUGACAUAUAUGGGCCUACUUCAUUGACCAUUUAACACGUUUAUGCCACUUUACUCAGAGCAUGUCCUUUGUCUGUUCAAAGGUUGAAAACACAGGUCAGCUCUUUGCUUCUAGCGUGUCUCUCAUUCAGGUGAGUUAUUCAACACUCUCUUCUCUCUGUCCUUCAAUAGCAUAUUGCUCUGGUGUUUUUUAUCGAUGGUCUGUGGGGUGAUAAAAAUUACCUUUGCUACUUUACUGUUUCAAUGUCGCACGAUGAUUUGAUUUUUAUUAACAUUUGGGGUUGCAUAUUUGUGCUUUUUGUAGCUAAAACUUGGAUCUCUCUGGAAACCAGGUUUGGCCUUUUCUUUGUUUAUUUCAUAUUCUUUGUAGUCAUAAUUUGUUGGGUAUCGUUUGUUCACUGUUCUUUGGUGGAUAUAUGUUAGAUAUUUUCCCCCUAUUGGGAUACUUUAUUGUUGAAUUUCCCUCUUGCAUAUCCGUAAAUUGGUUUGAUUUACUCAUACAUGUUUGGAAAUUGGUACCUAGACAAUUCAAGAGCAAGUUUCGUCCUUUAGUCGCAUUUCUGCAAUCUCUCUUUGUUUCUUGAUCUUCACUCUUUCAAUGUUUAUCGAUCUUUAUUAUAUCUAUCAUCUGAUUUAACCUCUCUGUUUUGGUAAUCUUUUUUUGUUUGAUUGCAGUUUCUUUGUUGGUAAUUUGGAUUUGGUGGGUACAUCAUAGUUUAACCAAAUCUCUAACAAGAAAUUGUUAAUUCAUGUCACUAAUUUUAAGUAAUUUCAUUUACCUUAUAUUUUCAUUAAGGAAUUUGGUGAUUUGACUAUUUGAAUUUGGGGUUUUGAGCAUUCAAUCAAAUUUACAUCUCAGAGUUGGACCAAACAAUCAAAACGCCAUAUUGGGGUGUAAGGCGUUGAUAAAGGUCUACUCAUAGCAGAAGUGGUUUGGUUACUUUCCGUGUGGAGUAUCAUGUGUUGUAUUUCGACCUUCUAAAGGCCAUAAUAGUUACCAUGAUUAACAAGGUAAGAACCUUCGUUGCAUUUUUUUGAAGCUUUAUUUGUUUCUCUCAUCUUUCUACUUGAUCUUUCUUGAUUGUCUCUAUCAAUUUUUUUGUUCUCUUCCUUCUUACUUAUUAGUUUAGUUUUACUAACCCUGAGGACCAAGACGCCAACUCCUUUCGCUCCAAGUUGUUGCAAUUCCAUAGCUGGAGAUGAAAAAACUUCUGGUGAUGUUAUUCAUGAUAUUUUGAGUUUGUCUGAUGGUGACAGUGCCGCUGAGAUUACCUGAAAUAGAAGUGCAAGGUAAGCCUUUUAACAUCACUGAUGAUUGUAGGUGUUAUUUGGUUUGCAGAGAUUCCCUUUAAUUGCCUGCAAGUCAAUUGUAGAUAUAUGGCAAUUUCUCUUUCAAUUAGUUCCAUUUGAAGCCAAUACUUUCAACAGUUAUGCUUGCCAUUUAUGUGUAAAGAUCUACUAAAUUGUAUUAAAUAGUAGAUAUGAAGCCAUAACUUUAAAAAUAUAAUAGUUUCAAGGCUAAAAACAUUAAAGGUUGAAGCCACAACAACAACAGCCUAGUGUGGUUCCACAAGUAAGGCCUGUGGAGUGGAGGAUGUACGCAGCCUUACCCCUAUCCUGAAAGAGCGGAGAGACUAGAGACUCUUUCUAAUAGACCCUCGGCUAAAGAAGAUGAGAAAAGCCCGGGUAGCAAGUAAUAGAAAAACAUAAUUAGAAAACAUUAAUGGUUGAAGCCAUAGAGCGUAAAUCUUAGAUCCACCUCUGAUCAUAGUUGAAGGUCAAACUGGAAAAAGAAUCAACUUUUGGUGUAAUUAAGCACUUUGAAGUGUAGUGCAGAAUUCUACAAGUUGCACCUUUAGUAGGAACAAUAGUGGUGAUCAAGUGCCACCUUAGUCUUUUUUUUUUUCGUGGUUAAUGCAACUGUUACUAAAAUAAUAAAAGGUCUCGCCUUAAUUUGAGUCUUUGGAUAUGACGAACCAAUUUCUACUAUAACAUCUGCUCUUUAAAUCUUUACUAUGUUUGAUUUGGUGAUUGGAUAUUAAUUGAAGGUAGAUGUUGGCUUCAUGGAGCUCAGACCUUCUGAAUUGCAACAGCACUGGCAAUGUCUAUUUCAGUCUUACAGGAAAAAGCGAGCAAAAAAAUAUUUUGAAAGGUCAGUGCAUUAACCUUACUUCAUACAAUUACAAGAGGUAAAAUUUUGGUGGUACAGUACAAGAAAUAGAAUUCUUUAAAGGGGGGACAAAUUUUCUUUUGCUCUUGGUUCUUGAGGUUUUGAUAAAUCCUCUGAUAUAUUUUUGGAGAUAUUCUCUCUGGACUACAAUAAUGUCGUAGCAAAUAUAAAUUAUGUACAACUCUCUGUGUACUUUUCUGUUUGAACUUGUUGCUUUGGAACUUAUAUGUAAGACUUUCUCUCCAUGUAGUAGCAUAAAAACAUCUGGUUUGGUUUUGACACUGGAAGAGUUGGUUUUCUCUCAGACUAUCUUCCAUUAUCUCUGUCUUAUAGUUCUUUAUUGGCUUUGCCCAUGUGCAUAUAUGUGCAUGUGAGACACUUUCCCGUACUUUGAUUUGAUUCUAUGGAAUAUUGAGAAAUCUGUUUCUGCCAAG
rnacentral:lncRNA from 1 species